UUGUUUUGGCAACAUAUAUACUAAUAUUAGAACAGUACAGAGAGGACCAGCAUGAAUCUUGUGCAAGGAUUGCAUGAAAAUUCAUAGGAGUUCCACAUUUUU